GGAUUGAACGCUGGCGGCAUGCCUAACACAUGCAAGUCGACGGGAGUAGCAAUACUCUAGUGGCGGACGGGGUGAGGAAUACGUAGGAAUUUGCCCUUAAGUGGGGGAUAACCCGGGGAAACCCGGAUAAUACCGCAUGACCUCGAAAGAGCAAAGUGGGGGAUCGCAAGACCUCACGCUUUUGGAGAAGCCUACGUCGGAUUAGCUGUUGGUGAGUAAUGGCUCACCAAGGUCGACGUACUCCGUAACUGGUCUAGGAGACGGAUGAUCGAGUCACGACGGAACUGACGUACACGGGUCCGAACUCCGUACGGGAGGUCAGUC
rnacentral:rRNA from 1 species